rnacentral:rRNA from 1 species
UACGGGGGGAGCAAGCGUUGUUCGGAUUUACUGGGCGUAAAGCGUGCGCAGGCGGCUUCUUAAGUCAGAUGUGAAAUCCCCGGGCUUAACCUGGGAACUGCGUUUGAAACUGGGAGGCUAGAGUGUGGAAGAGGGGGGUGGAAUUCCAGGUGUAGCAGUGAAAUGCGUAGAGAUCUGGAGGAACACCGAUGGCGAAGGCAGCCCCCUGGGCUGACACUGACGCUCAUGCACGAAAGCGUGGGGAGCAAACAGG